GGAGGAAAGUAGGGGAUCGCAAGACCUUGCGCUUUUGGAGCGGCCGAUGCCUGAUUAGCUUGUUGGUGAGGUAAAAGCUCACCAAGGCUCCGAUCAGUAGCUGGUCUGAGAGGACGACCAGCCACACUGGGACUGAGACACGGCCCAGACUCCUACGGGAGGCAGCAGUGGGGAAUUUUGGACAAUGGGGGCAACCCUGAUCCAGCCAUGCCGCGUGAGUGAAGAAGGCCUUCGGGUUGUAAAGCUCUUUCAGCCGGAACGAAACGGUCACGGUCAAUACCCGUGACUACUGACGGUACCGGAAGAAGAAGCACCGGCUAACUACGUGCCAGCAGCCGCGGUAAUACGUAGGGUGCGAGCGUUAAUCGGAAUUACUGGGCGUAAAGCGUGCGCAGGCGGUUUUGUAAGUCAGAUGUGAAAUCCCCGGGCUUAACCUGGGAACUGCGUUUGAAACUACAAAGCUAG
rnacentral:rRNA from 1 species